AUUGAACGCUGGCGGCAGGCUUAGCACAUGCAAGUCGAGCGGUAACAGAGAGAAGCUUGCUUCUCUGCUGACGAGCGGCGGACGGGUGAGUAGUGCCUAGGAAUCUGCCUAGUAGUGGGGGAUAACUUGCCGAAAGGUAAGCUAAUACCGCAUACGUCCUAUGGGAGAAAGGAGGGGACCUUCGGGCCUUUCGCUAUUAGAUGAGCCUAGGUCGGAUUAGUUAGUUGGUGAGGUAAUGGCUCACCAAGACCGCGAUCCGUAACUGGUCUGAGAGGAUGAUCAGUCACACUGGAACUGAGACACGGUCCAGGCUCCUACGGGAGGCAGCAGUGGGGAAUAUUGGACAAUGGGGGGAACCCUGAUCCAGCCAUGCCGCGUGUGUGAAGAAGGUCUUAGGAUUGUAAAGCACUUUAAGUUGGGAGGAAGAGCAGUUAACUAAUAUUUGACUGUUUUGACGUUACCGACAGAAUAAGCACCGGCUAACUUCGUGCCAGCAGCCGCCGUAA
rnacentral:rRNA from 1 species